ensembl:misc_RNA
CAACCCAACACGCGCUCUCAGCUGGCCGGUGUGGUACAACCCUCCCCCCACCUCCCCUUCUUGGCCUUCGCCAGUGUGGGAGCCUUGUGUCACUGGAGAGUCCGUUCAG